GACGAAGGGGGCAAGCGUUGUUCGGAAUUACUGGGCGUAAAGCGUGCGCAGGCGGUGAUGUAAGACAGUUGUGAAAUCCCCGGGCUCAACCUGGGAACUGCAUUUGUGACUGCAUCGCUGGAGUGCGGCAGAGGGGGAUGGAAUUCCGCGUGUAGCAGUGAAAUGCGUAGAUAUGUGGAGGAAUACCGAUGGCGAAGGCAGCCCCCUGGGAUAACACUGACGCUCAUGCACGAAAGCGUGGGGAGCAAACAGG
rnacentral:rRNA from 1 species